rnacentral:rRNA from 1 species
ACGCUCGACACCUACGGGGGGCAGCAGUGGGGAAUAUUGCACAAUGGGGGAAACCCUGAUGCAGCGACGCCGCGUGAAGGAAGAAGUAUCUCGGUAUGUAAACUUCUAUCAGCAGGGAAGAAAGUGACGGUACCUGACUAAGAAGCCCCGGCUAAUUACGUGCCAGCAGCCACGGUAAUCUGAGCGGGCUGGCAAGGC